ensembl:lncRNA
GAGCACUGAGUGCAAGGAGAAGUCAUGCAUGGUAUUUUAUAAGGCUGGAGUUCUGGUAUGCUAUAAAUAAUCAGGAGGUGUGGAGAAUCCAAGGGGAAAAUAGAGAUCUCAGGAAAAGCACAAGUGAAAAAUGUGGUCUCGCAAUUAUUCUUUUUUUCUAAGCUAUAAAUUUGGAGAUGCAGCCACAGCUCGUGGAAACCAGUGCUGGGGACAUUUUAUUUUAUGCAGCCAUUUAGGACCUUCCUUCCAUGGCAGCUUUCCAGGGUACCUGCUGCACACCUGGGCUCCUUCAUCCAGCAUGUUCCAUACAUGAGCCACGCAGGUAAUGCCAGCCCGUGCUGAGGAUUGUUUCUGACCUGCUCGACGGAAUAACAAGGAAUGCUCCGUGCCAAAUUAUUCACUCUCCACCGGCUAAAUCGCGCAUCCUCCUGCAAUCAGAUAACAAGCGCAGCCGCAGCUGGAAAACAAAGGUCCUGCAAUUCCGAGUGGAGAUGUGGAGAGCUGGGCAAGGAGUGGUGGAACAUCAGGCUCGCGGUGCUCCCAGCGCCUGUCAGCGCCGGGUGUGUGACAGCAGUAACGACACCGCCAGCAGCGCGGGCCCCGCCGUCUGUGCAGCUCCAGCCACAGGGACAUGCAGGAGGGAAAACGGAUGGCAUCCGCUGGAAUGGGCUGAGCCUCCCAAUCCAGCCGAGAGCAAGGCAGAAAACCAGAAAACUCUCUCGAUUAGAAUGUGGAUUUUGGAGCCCAGGGAAUUUCCUGCAACCACACAUUAAUAAAUAACCCGUCCGAAUUUGGGUUGGUUUAAGGUCACAGGGCUCCACGGAGGGCAGGGGCCAUCCCAGCACUGCGGUUUUUGCCUUGUCGGGGAGCACUGGGAUGGGAUGGAUUGUGUCUCGGAGCCAGGCCCCGUGCCAGCAGCGAGUGGCUUCCCUAACCCUGUCCUCGGAGCGUGGAAGGUGUCACCUGGGGCUGAGCACACGCUAGAGAAGCAUCAGUAAAAAGUACACUCCUCCUCCAGCAGGAAAGUUUCCUUUGCUGAAAAUCACAGCUCUCCCAUUUAAUUCUCAUGAAUAUUCAUCCGUGCGGGGAUCUCAUUCACAGGGAGACCGAGAAGAACUGGUGGGUGCUUAUGCAAAAACACAGACACUUGACACCAAAGAUGCUUGUUUAGUUGAUGUGAAAUCUCUCCAGUUUUCUUUCCCCAGUACAUACACGGGCUUGGUGGGAUGAAAUACAUUAUCCAGAGAAUCAUUCAUCAAAGACCUGGAACGACUCAGAGCGCAUGUGAUGGAUCAGGAAAAUGGCCACCUCGGCAGUGGCUUAAGGACAGCCAGAAAGACGUUUUGAGCAAAAAUCUUCCCGUGGAUUUGUGCUGGAAGCGGGGUUCAAUAGGGGUCUGUCUAUACCAUCGAGUGCCAAUCAAGCAGAGUCAUCUCUGCAAAUCUGUGGCACAAUCUCAGAGGGAGCCGUGGCACGGCAGGGGCUGGGCUGGGCAGGAUUAGUCAGGAGCUAGAAAGGGAUUAGGAAAACCUGACAUGAAAAUGCUUCACUUUGUGUGCAUUUUUAUAGUGUGAGACUAUAUACGGAGAGCUGUUAUCCCACGGGCUGCCAGGCAGGAGCAGGGAAAAACAAUGAAAUAUAUUUUGGGGGGAAAAAGGGACUUGGAAGGAGACAUCCUCCCAGUGUGGGAAGAGCGUUGCUGAAGAACCUCUCCUGACUUUUGGGGAGCUGGACAGGCGCCAUUUGCAGGCACUUCUGAGAAGCUUUCCCAGCCUUUCCUUGUUUUCUUUCCCGUUGUUUUGAGUUCAGCCGUCGUCAGAGGCAGCUCCCCGGUUUCUCCUGCAGCACCCCGGCCCCGCAGCCCUGGGCAGGAGCUGUGCCUCCAUCCCGCUCCCCGCAGGACCUGGGCAGGAGCUGUGCCUCCAUCCCGCUCCCCGCAGGACCUGGGCAGGAGCUGUGCCUCCAUCCCGCUCCCCGCAGGACCUGCUGCUGCCGCGGCUCUCCAGAAUUGCCUUUUGAGAAAUCAGGACAGAGAACAGGGGAAGUGAAGUGGGUCCUCAGUGACGUAAGUGUUGCAGAGCUCCGAAAUAAGCCGGGCUAGCUAAUGGCUUUGCUAAACACUGCAGUCGCUGGCGAUGAUCUCCGUGGCCAUUCCCUGUGAGAGAGGGCUGAGAUCUGCAGGCAAAUCCCGACAUUUUUGGAGCCGCGGUGGGCCGCACGCUCAGAGACGCGCUCGCAUCCCCGUUCCGCUCGACUGCAGCUUCGCCGUGAUGCGGCAGAUUGUUUGGAGGGAUCCAUGUCAGGAUAUUUUAGGGAAGCCAGCGCUAGCAUUGCUGUGAAUACAACAUCUCUGCGCGUCGCACAAAUCCCUGCCCUGCUCGGAAGGAGCCUGGAGCUCUCUGAGAGCUGCUGCAGGCGAGGACAGAGGGGCUGUGCUGGAGGCAGAUGGAGCCGCGCAGCUCUGCGGGGAUGGAGCCUGACUGUGCAGCAGCGCUCGCUCUUGUCCCAGCGACAUCCUGAGGGGUCCCAGCAGGACCCGGGUCCCGCAGGAUGCGUGGCACCCUUCCCUGGCACCGCGGGCAGCGCGCUGCUGACGGCGGGCACUCGCACCCGUGGGCGCCGGCGCCGCGUCUGCGUCCUGCCGAGCAGUUUGGAGAGAGCAGCAGAGUGACUUUGUUCGCAUCAGCCCACAAACUGCUUAAUUAGUUAAAAAUUUACUCCAGAUUAACUUGGCUUGAGCUGGCCAGUCUGCGGUUUCCGCUGCCCCCCGGAGAGGGGACGGGGCUGGGAUGGGGGAGCAGCGCCGGGAACACCACCCCGGCUGCAGGAUCCCCUCGGAUCCGCUCUGCAGGAGCUGCAGACUCUUUCAGCAAAGCCAAUUUCAGUCAACCUGGUUUCUCUAAAAUACAUCGACUUCAGUAGUGUUUUGUACAAAGGGAAGAAAAAAAAAAUCCUAAAUAUUUUCCUUGGGAUAAACUCCUGUGUUAGAGCCACGUCCCUUUCAUGCUGUUGCACAUGGGCUGGUAUUUAAGGCAGGGACUUAUUGUAUAACCCAGUGCCUGUGGGAUUAAAAAAAAAAAAAAAAAAACAGUCUCCAUGGAAAUGGAGGCCAUAUCUUUUGAAAACUGUAUCAGAGCUCUCUAUCCUCUCCCCUUUAUCAUUGUAUUUUAACCUACCAGCUGCAUAUUUAAGAGCAGAGCUUGCAAGAUGAUCUUACCCUUUUUUAUUAUUUUCCCUUAUGUGUUAAGGGAGGGAAUACUGACAGGGACAAGUGACAGCUCGCUAAUUAUUCCCUUACUGCCACUGCUGUUCUUGUUUUGGACGUGUUGCUCAUUUUCCUCUGCUCUUCGCACUGAAUAAUGCAUGGGUCCCUAUCAGUAUUCAUGCGGUACCUUCGGGAACUGCCAGCCUAACUAGCUGAUAACUGAUUCAGUUUGUAACCGGUGCCUUUGGGAGUUGCAAGGAAAAGUAGCCAAGAACAAAUUUAACACUUCUUUCUCAUUGCCUCAGAACAUCAAGGAGAGGUACAGGAGGGCUGCGCACCAAAUCCCUCCGUUGCCCGGAGCUGUGGGAGGUGCGGAGCCGCAGCUCCAGCGCUGGACGCGGCCGCGGGGUCAGCGGGAUGCGAUGGCAGCGCCGGGAGGGAGCGGGCCGGGCCGCCGCCAUCCCGAAGCAGUUGUUUGCAGCAGAUGCCCUCUCUAAGCUUCGCAAGGAGGUGCCAAGAAAAGCCACCCCAGAGCCAUCUGUACUCGGGAGCGGCAAACCGUGCGAGCCCGGUGCCGGUGCCGGGAGCGCUCCGGGCUAUCGGCUGCUAUCGGCGUGGCGGGGACCCCGCCGGGCUCAGAGCUCCAAGUGUCGCUGCCGGGACACCCCGCUGACCCCGAGCAACGCUGAGCAUGGUCCCUCACAGCAAGGUCUGUCCCGCUCCAAAGCAGCUUCCAGAGCCCCCUCCCAUCCCAGGGAGAACGCAAAGCGAAGGAGGAUGGGUAAAGCCAUAUCCUCUCUUUCCGUGUCUGCUAAAUACGAUUAUGAGAGGGAAGAAAGGGAGAAAGCCUGGCAUUUCCUGCGUGCCACGUUUGUUAGAGGUGCCUUGUUAUGCUGGCGCUGCUGGAAGCACAUUUCCUGCCCCAUAGGCUCACUCACUGCACGGAGCUGCUCUGCUGGAAGAGCUCUGCCCCCUCCACAGAAGGAUGAAAAACCGCUGUGAGCAGUUGGUUGAAUAUUCUUACUCGAGCUUUUCAUCUGACAUGUGUCAGAUGGUGUGACCUUACCCACCCGUAAUGGCAUGACCUCAAACGCCAUCUCCACGGCUUUGCUCCUCUCCAAGUGCAGAUAUAUAUAUUUAAAAUCCUGCCAUGGAGGAAGAGAUGCCUUGGGUUUGGGGUUGCGUCAAAGUUGUCAGACGUGUCUUCUGCAGGAGCUGAAAGCAGAUGGGGAGAUGACCUCGUAGGCGUCCAUCAUGCCUCAUGUGAGGGACAGAGCUUCCAGCAGGAAAAUUUUAAAGGUCUUUCUUGGAGCUUGCACUAGGAACUGUUUCCUUAGUUCAAACUCAUUGAACUUUGUUGAGGAAGUUGAGCUCUUCCCUCCAAUGAAGAUGAUCCAGAUGAGUGCCAGGCAGGAGGUGAGGUUUGUGCACAAGGGCCAAAGCUCUCGAAGCACAGCCAGACUUGGGAGCAAAUUCACCAAGACCCAGCAGAAGAGCCACAUCUGGGCUGUGCUCAGGCAGGACUGGGGUGUGGGGAUUCCUCACUGACCCCUGAGUGCCGUCAGCCUCUUUGGAGACAGGCUGGAGCUCUUGACUCAAACAAAACUGCUGUGUGUUUAAUUGAUCCUCUCCACUGUUCCCACUUCAAGCUUUUCUGCACUUCCUCCAAUUCCCUGCCCCCAGUGCCCGUUGACCAACUGGCCACAGCAAGAAAUCCUGGGUGAUCUGUCCCAUCAGCCCUUAAGGAAACAGGCAGGCCAGGUGGUCACUGACUUGUUAGGGAAUCAACCUCUUCCUCCUUCUGGGUUCUGCAAAACUUGGCAGCAGUUUGUAUUUAGAACUGCUAAAACCUGUGGCUAAUCAGGCAAAAUUAGUGACAUCAUUUAAAAGGUAAAACACUAAAUAAUGCUGAUCUCUUCAUCUCACUGCCUAUGAUUACAGCAAAAAAAAAAAAAAAAAAAAA